UGCUUUGCGGACGACGAGCUCCAUCGCUCUUCCUCGCUCGGUGCUGUGACGACUCCCAUCCAUCACCACCAUUUAUACAGAAAUAUCCUUUUCCAAAUGAUUUUGCGCGGCUUGUAGUGGAAGAGCAACUCCAGUAAAAAGUGACUGAUCACUAGCGAAAAAAAUGAAGAAAAACGCUUCAAUACGGCCGGAACUUAGGUGCUAGCUACAAACCUUGAUAUACUGGAGGAUAGCCAGACGAAGUUGGAGGAGGCCCAUACGAAGCUGGAGCUGUAGGAACAUAAGGAGGUGGCUGCUGAUG